rnacentral:rRNA from 1 species
CCUACGUGAGGCAGCAGUGAGGAAUAUUGGUCAAUGGACGAGAGUCUGAACCAGCCAAGUAGCGUGAAGGAUGACUGCCCUAUGGGUUGUAAACUUCUUUUAUAUGGGAAUAAAAUGUUCCACGUGUGUGCUGUUGUAUGUACCAUGUAAAUAAGGAUCGGCUAACUCCGUGCCAGCAGCCGCGGUAAUACGGAGGAUCCGAGCGUUAUCCGGAUUUAUUGGGUUUAAAGGGUGCGUAGGUGGAUUGUUAAGUCAGUUGUGAACUUUACCGGCUCAACCGUAAAAUUGCAGUUGAAACUGGCAGUCUUGAGUACAGUAGAGGUAGGCGGAACUCGUGGUGUAGCGGUGAAAUGCUUAGAUAUAACGAAGAACUCCGAUUGCGAAGGCAGCUCACUGGAUUGCAACUGACACUGAGGCUCGAAAGUGUGGGUAUCAAACAGGAUUAGAUACCCGUGUAGUC